GCGAUUCAGAACAAGGCAGGCAGUCUUUGGCUUUGGUCAGAAAAGCACGACAUUGCUCACAUUGCUUCCAGUAUUUUAAGCCAGCUCGGGUGCUGGCUUUU
rnacentral:misc_RNA from 5 species